UACGAAGGGGGCUAGCGUUGCUCGGAAUCACUGGGCGUAAAGGGUGCGUAGGCGGGUUUUUAAGUCAGGGGUGAAAUCCUGGAGCUCAACUCCAGAACUGCCUUUGAUACUGAAGAUCUUGAGUCCGGGAGAGGUGAGUGGAACUGCGAGUGUAGAGGUGAAAAUUCGUAGAUAUUCGCAAGAACACCAGUGGCGAAGGCGGCUCACUGGCCCGGUACUGACGCUGAGGCACGAAAAGCGUGGGGGAGCAAACAGG
rnacentral:rRNA from 1 species